rnacentral:rRNA from 1 species
CAGCAGCCACGGGAACACGGAGGGCGCGAGCGUUACCCGGAUUUACUGGGCGUAAAGGGCGUGUAGGCGGCCUGGGGCGUCCCAUGUGAAAGGCCACGGCUCAACCGUGGAGGAGCGUGGGAUACGCUCAGGCUAGAGGGUGGGAGAGGGUGGUGGAAUUCCCGGAGUAGCGGUGAAAUGCGCAGAUACCGGGAGGAACGCCGAUGGCGAAGGCAGCCACCUGGUCCACUUCUGACGCUGAGGCGCGAAAGCGUGGGGAGCAAACCGGAUUAGAUACCCCGGUAGUCCCUGUCUCUUAUAC